GGAUAUGAGGGUAAUCUGGCUGCGACAUCUUUCACUCCACUGAUCGCCAGGGUUGAUUCGGCUGAUCUGGCUGGCGAGGCGGGUGUCCCCUUCCUCCCUCACCGCUCCAUGUGCGUCUCUCCCGAAGCUGUGCACUUGGUCAAAGAGGACGACCAUCCCCGAUAGAGGAGGACCGUUCUUCGGUCAAGGGUAUACGAGUAACUGUGCUCCCCUGCUAGAACCUCCAAACAGGCUCUCAAGAAGUAGAGAAACAUUAAGUAGAAAAGAACUACUGUAUAGUAAGAUUAAAAUGGUACACUUCAGUGAACCUUAAUACUAAAGAUUUCAGAAACCUUUU
rnacentral:snRNA from 1 species